rnacentral:rRNA from 1 species
AUGGGCUUGUACCGUGCCCACGGGACCCCCGUGCGCACGGGCCCAACUUUCCCCGUGCGCACGGGCCCAUCAGGAUGGACAGCUGUGAGCUGCUGUUGGGCCUCCACCUCGUCCCCUCCUUCCACCUACCUAUAUAUUCAGUACCUAGACCAUAUGUUAGGGAUAGCAAAGUAUUGGAUAGAGAAAGAGAGAGCUUUGCUCAUCAUCCUCCUCUUGGAGAUCAAGGCCUCCUCUUGGAGAAGAUCCUCUUGUGGAUAUCAAGGCCUCCUCUUGGAGAAGGAUCCCCAUCAUAGGAUCAUCAAGACCUCUUUCCUCAUAGGAUUGGGAUGA